AAGAGAGUGAAGGAGCUUCCUUCAGCCCACGCAUGGGUUCGGGGGAUUGAAGGGUUGCUGAAGCAUCUGCUGACUCAUUCAUACACACAGAAUAGUGAUUCAAAUUGCUAAGGUAAUUGUGUGAAUGAAGCAGGAGAUAUUUUGCAUCCCUCUUUCUUUGUGCUUGGACUGAAGGGGAGCUCCUUCUUUCUGUUGC
rfam:Glycine soja cultivar W05 scaffold4351_7, whole genome shotgun sequence.